rnacentral:misc_RNA from 1 species
ACCGAUCAGCACGACUACGACGUCAAGAUGCGCAACGUCUUCAAGUUUCUCGAGAACGGCGACAAGGUGAAGGUCACGCUGCGGUUCCGCGGCCGCGAGAUGGCGCACCAGAACCUCGGCCGCGAGUUGCUCGAGCGGGUGGCCGAGGACACCAAGGAAGUCGGCAAGGUCGAGAACUUCCCGAAGAUGGAAGGCCGCCAGAUGGUGAUGAUGAUCGGCCCCAGCCGCUAAUUCGGCAAGCCUGUCGAUGCGAUCCGCGCCCGGUCCCGUUGCGGCCGGGCGUUUUCAUUUGGGUCGCCGUCCUCAGCCCGCA